rnacentral:lncRNA from 1 species
UGUAUUUUUUUUUAAGAAAAAAAUAAGGGUAUUUUUUGAAGGUUUGAAAGUGAUCAAGGAUGUUAUACAUAAAUAUAGGAAAAACUUCAAAAAUCUUCCUGUGAUUUUGUACUUUUUUAUUUUAGUACCAUAUGGUUUAAAGUGUAUCAAGUUAGUAACCUGUGAUUUCGCACUUUCUCACUUUAGUAUCCUGUGGUUUAAAGUGCAUCAAAUUAGUACUCUAUGUUUUUAUUUUGUAUCAAGUUAGUAUUCUGUGGUUUUUAAAUCACAUGGUACUAAAGUGAGAAAGUGCGAAACCACAUGAUACUAACUUGAUACACUUUAAACCACAAGGUACUAAAAUAAAAAAGUGUAAAAUCACACAGUACUAACUUGAUACACUUUAAACCACGUGGUACUAAAGUGAGAAAGAGUGAAACCACAUGGGGGGAGUUUUUGAAGUUUUUUCAUAAAUAUAUGUAUAUAUAUAUAUGUAGAGAGAGAGAUAAUAAAAUGAAAUAAAGAGGGAAACGAUGUGACCUCCUCUCACAGUUGUAUUCCUCUGGAAGUUAGGUGAAGCACGUAGAUGUAGAUUUCAAAUCCUUCUAGAAGGAUAACGAACACCGGCUAAUUUUUGAUCACAUUAUACAACUAUACAAAGCGUGUCUUAAUUAUCCCACAUUAUCCAUCUCUAUAUAAGAAUAGGAGUCAAUUCCCCAUAAUCAAUUCUUAUACAUUCAUAUGUUAUACAUCCUUCGAAGCAAAUGGAAUGAGCAUUUAUU